AUCCAUCACGCAUAUACACACACACACAGACAACUCUAAGGUCAAGCUCAUAUUCUAUCCAUCACGCAUAGAUACAUACACACAAACAACUCUAAGGUCAAGCUCAUAUUCUAUCCAUCACGCAUAGAUACAUACACACAAACAACUCUAAGGUCAAGCUCAUAUUCUACCCAUCACGCAUAUAUACAUACACACAGACAACUCUAAGGUCAAGAUCAUAUUCUAUCCAUCACACAUAUAUACAUACACACAGACAACUCUAAGGUCAAGCUCAUAUUCUAUCCAUCACGCAUAGAU